rnacentral:lncRNA from 1 species
GGAUGAAGAAGAAAUGAGAAAUAAAGGUGGAAUAGGAGAAGAAGCCAAGGUGUAAUAUUUAGGUGACGACAGGCAGAAUGAGGUGGGCGUAGCGAAGGCUGUGGGUGGUCAAUUCACAACGCAGAUUACCUACACCUUGCACCACACUGACUGCCCGCAGCUGUUCAUUAAAGUCUGGCAAGCCUGUAUCUCCGUGUUCUGCCCUGGAUAUAGGAGUAAAACGUUGACGAGUGCGUGGAGUCGCCCAGAUCCUCUCCCUGUGGACCAUCCCUUCAGUAGUGUUCGAUCCGCCCAGCAGCAGCAACGGUCAUGAGAAGGCGGUCAUUGAAGUGUCAAGUCCCCAAGCUGGCAUGGUGGUGGGUGUUGUGCUGGGCUCCCUUGUGGUUCUUUGCCUAGCUGUUGGGGUAAGUCAAAUAGUUUUUCACUUCUUUAUACUGUGUUGUCUUGCUCUGGAUGUGUUGUGGCUGUGCUGUGGCAAAGAUGGCGUAAUUAAGCAGUGGGUGAGAUUCUACCAAACUUUAAACAAUUCUAAAUUGUUCUUGACACACUGAGAAUAUUCCAUUACUGUAAAGUUAGCCGACUCAUACUUUAUACAUUUUUUUUUUUUCAUCUCACCUGCAACAUUUUAAGUGUACAGAUGUUUGUCGGGUUCCUGAAGAUGCGUCGACGUGUUAUCAUCCACGCAAGCUACCCCAACCCAGCCGGUGUACCACAAGACAACAGGCAUUGAGGAGGACGGGAGGAGGGAGCGAGCGGCUGCAUGCACUAUUGAACGGGACGGCAUUACAUUCUUCCCACAGUUGUAUGACUACACUGAAGCAA